AACUGUGUAAAUGGCGAUACUGUAAUUUCCUUUUUAUCCUUGACUCUAUGCAUUACUUGAUUGUUUCAAGAAUAAAUUAUGGAUUUGCUGCUCAAUACUUGAUUCUUUGGUGUCUAUACAUGGUGUAAACAUAUACUGAUAAAGAAAAAAAUCUUCUCCAUUCUUUCUCAUAUUUUCAUUUCUAAUUGAGUUUAUGCAGCAUCAGUAUGAAUGGCAAAUAACACUUAUAACAGUAAAAUGUGCUGUCAUUUUUAUAUUACAAGUAAUGGUAACGAUUAUAAUGAUGGCAAUAAUAAUUGUAGUGAUAGUACUAGUAAUAAAUUGUUAUUUUACUGCUGCAUUCUCAUUGUUCUUGAUUAUGAUUUCUCAUGGUCAUAAUUAUUAGUAUUUUUGUUAUGGCCCAUUAGAGUUAUUUCUGCCUUCCAAUCUAAUUUUGUGCUUGUCUGCCACUAAGGAAGGCAAUCUGUGAAAUUUUUUAAUUUGCUUUAUUCUUUUUAUUGGUCAAUCUGACUGACGCUGUUUCCUUAAGCAUCAAAAGUAAACAGCACAAGUUUUUGGCAUUCCUUUAUAAAUUAGUUACAAGCUUGUGGUUGUGACUAAGAGGUACUUGUCAGAAGAUAUGCUGAAUUGUUUGACUGUCUGCAUGUAAGGACAUAGAUUCUAUCCUUUUUUGGUAACUUGUUUAAUAAAAGGCUCCAUUAAUCACUUGGGUCUACGAUUCUGAUUGAUUAGCUUUACCUUGAUCUUCGACUUUUUUUAUUUUUUAUUUUUUUAGCAAGUUAACAAAACAGUCUGUACAUAUUAGUGAGUCAAUAUAUUUAAUUAUAUAUAUGUAUAGAUAAAAGUUUUUUUAAACCCGUGUAUUGGUCAGUAAUUUGACAUCAGGACUAUCCUCUUCUGUAAUUAGCUGAAAAUAUAUUCUGUCAACAGCAUUCUGUGAAAUAUUCAAUAUGUCUAUUCAUGAUGUGGUUUCUAUCAUGGAAGGUCAUUAUAGAUUUUAUCUAUGUCUAAUUAGUAGAUUUAUAUACUCCUAAUUAGUGUAGGAUUUAUAU
rnacentral:misc_RNA from 1 species